rnacentral:misc_RNA from 1 species
CGAGCGUCAUUACACCACUCAAGCCUCGCUUGGUAUUGGGCGACGCGGUUAGCCGCGCGCCUCAAAUCUUCCGGCUGGUUCGAAUCGUCCCUCAGCGUUGUGGAAACUAUUCGCUAAAGGUGCUCGUUUCGGUCACGCCGUUAAACAAUCAUUCAUUAAAGGUUGACCUCGGAUCAGGUAGGGAUACCCGCUGAACUUAA